rnacentral:lncRNA from 1 species
CCACUACUAAUGUGGAGUACUGCUGAAACUAUGAGUUUCUUGGUUUGUUUUUCAGUAUUAAUGCAUCUCCCUGAAACAGUUUUCAAUGGUUAACAAGCUGCUGAAAGUCAGACAAGCAUUCAGCAUUCAGACAACUGGAGCCUGGACUAAUUCUCCCAAAAUUGAAGCCUAUGUUUUGACUAAGCUGACAUACGGUGUAAAGGUAAAAUCUCCAGUUAUAAAGAAAAAGAUGUGUUUUUGAAGUGGAAUAUGUCUCUAAUGUCUACAAACAAGCCCUGCAUACACAGCUUUGCAAGCCUGGGAGAUGAAAGCAAUUUUGCUUGUGAAGACAGGGAAGGGACUUUGUGAAGAACUUCAGGGAGUUCCUACCUGGUAGUGAGGAUGUAUGGCAGCAAGUGUGACACUGAUAGCAUGGAUGGUAAGCCACAGUGCAUGAAAUCAUCAAGAACAUUUCCAGUCUUGCAGACAAGACAGUGCAGUACUUAGUGCUAAAAGACAUCCAAGCCUCAUUUAUUAACAUUUCCUCCAAAAGUUUUUCCUUAGUAAUUUAAUGUUCUCAGAAAGACACUCAGAGAUCUGUUCCAUUGCAGAGAAAUUCCCUUAUAUUGUCCACCAAGCUGUAUACAGUCUGAGGAAAGAACAACUUCUAUUUUUGUGACACGUUUUAGUAGAAUUUCUGCAGUGAUUAAUUAUUUAUACUAUGGCCACUGAAAGCAAUAGCAGAUGCCUUAUUACCUUUUUGUAGAGGUAAAUCUGAGUCAGUAUUAAAUUGUAGUGAUUCUGGAUCAGACCUGAACACAAGCCAAAAAAGAAGAUUCGAGGAAACAGGGAUUUAUUGCUGCCUAGAGAAGAUUCCUGAGGCAACUUAUGCUGUUUGGGGGGAUCUGCAAAUCCAACUGUGACUCAACACUGAACUUGAAAUCCUUAUCUUUAUAAACUAUUUUUUUAGUACUAAAGCUCAUGGAAGAUCAGAUAUAUGUUUGGGGACUCACUGUUUUCAAGUGGAUCAUGACAUGGCUGGCAUAUCUACAGCCUGAAAUAUG